GGCGUCCCUUUCCCCAUUUAUAGCUUUCCAGCAUUAGUCUUUUAACUUUGUGGGCUGUGGUCCACUCACUUAUUCCUUUUUUUGCACAGUGAUAUCUUCACUAUUUAUGGGUUAUUUCAACAAGUAACUCUUGCCACCUGGCCUACUUGACAGUGAGCUUGGGCUAAGUCGUGAUGUGGCUAAUAGCAUAUUGUCAUUUUUUCAUCAUGAAAAUGGCCUCAAGCAAUAAUGUCUCUUUACUCUGCAAACAAUUAACUAGGCUUUCUUUUGUCACCUGAACAGCUACCAGAUAAAGAGACUUUGAUAUGUUCUUCACCAGAUCCUUUAGAUGCUGAAGUGUAUCCGAAAUGGGAGAAAGAGUAUCCGAGAUGGGAGAAAGAUCAGACUGAAUCAAGUGGGGUCUCCCUUACUGAAAAGAGUAGAGAUACUUUUGAGUCGGAGGAAGGGAAGAGGAAGUCCAAUAAAGAAAAGGGAAUGCAAACAAUCUCGCGAUAUUUUCAAAGUCAAAACUCUGACUCUCUCAUACAGAUAGAGCAUGCUAGCACUGCUAAUCUUAGCGAAUCAUCCUCCUUGUCAGACCCUCAUAGUGAACCUCCUCAAGAAAAUUCACUUACAAGGGGUGAGUCCAGUGUCGAUGCUCGUCUUUGCAGCCAGUUUAAAAGACCUGCCUGGAGUUACGACAUUGAUGAGAUUGACCAGGAUGUCCUGAAGGAGUUACCAAAACAAAUUCAAGAAGAGGUACGUGCAUGGCUCAGGCCUCAGAAGCGAUCUAACACAGUAAAAAGGGAUUUGGGUAUUACUCGUUAUUUCUUACCUGCAAAGGAUAAAUAGAUUCCAACAAACAAUUCCUCUAAAGAGGUGGUUAAUGUCAGAGGCUUAUCUGGAGCUUCUUGCCCAGAUUGAGCUGGAUCCUGUUGAAUGAGGAGGCCAUCUUAACAAGUUGGGUAGUCAUUAUAUUCAGUCUUGACAUAUUAUAUCCUAUUGUUGUUGAAUAUUCCUUAGUUCUCGGGAUUGCUAAGUGCAGAAGUCAUUACUACUUUGAGAGCAGGAUGAAGAAGCAUGUCCGUUAAUAUCACUGAGUGAAAUGUUAUUCAGAGCUUAAUAUUUGUGUAACUAUUAGGUUAGUCAUCAUAUUCAGUCUUGACAUAUAAUAUCCUAUUGUUGUUGAAUAGUCCUUUGUUCUUGGGGAUUGGCACUACUUCGAGAUCAACAUCAAGAAGCUGCCGUGCUAUAUCAGUUGUCUAAUUUUAUUCAUAUUGUAAUAUAAUACGUAUUAGGUUGCUAUAGGCUGUGUUUUGCUCGAAGGAUGGGCAUGUAUAUUCUUGAAAAUGAAUAAAUGUAAAUAUUAUUAUGUCAUGUCUUAUAUGGACAAGUUUGCGCUCUAUUCA